GGGGACAGCUGGGGGGACACAAGAGGGAGGGAUCGGGGCUGGGACGGGGCGGGGUUGGUGUGCUGGGAACGUACUGGGAUGGUACUGGGAUGGUACUGGGAGGCACUGGGAGGCACAGGGAGGCACUGGGAUGGUACUGGGAUAGUACUGGGGUGGUACUGGGAGGCACUGGGAGGCACUGGGAGGCACUGGGAUGGUACUGGGGUGGUACUGGGAUGGUACUGGGAGGCACUGGGAUGGUACUGGGAUGGUACUGGGGUGGUACUGGGAUGGUACUGGGAGGCACUGGGAUGUUACUGGGGUGUUACUGGGAGGCACUGGGCCGUACUGGGAGGCACUGGGAUGUUACUGGGGUGUCACUGGGAGGCACCGGGCCGUACUGGGGUGUUACUGGGAGGCACCGGGGUGUCACUGGGAGGCAGCGGCCGUACCGGGCCGUGCCGGUGCCCCCAGAGGCGCCGCCGUCGCUGCUGGGGCUGCGCGAGGCCACCAAGAACCGGGUGCUGGUGGCCCAGGG
rnacentral:lncRNA from 1 species